UGGGGAAUUUUGGACAAUGGGCGAAAGCCUGAUCCAGCAAUGCCGCGUGUGUGAAGAAGGCCUUCGGGUUGUAAAGCACUUUUGUCCGGAAAGAAAUCCUCUGGGUUAAUACCUCGGGGGGAUGACGGUACCGGAAGAAUAAGCACCGGCUAACUACGUGCCAGCAGCCGCGGUAAUACGUAGGGUGCAAGCGUUAAUCGGAAUUACUGGGCGUAAAGCGUGCGCAGGCGGUUUUGUAAGACGGAUGUGAAAUCCCCGGGCUUAACCUGGGAACUGCAUUCGUGACUGCAAGGCUAGAGUAUGGCAGAGGGGGGUAGAAUUCCACGUGUAGCAGUGAAAUGCGUAGAGAUGUGGAGGAAUACCGAUGGCGAAGGCAGCCCCCUGGGCCAAUACUGACGCUCAUGCACGAAAGCGUGGGGAGCAAACAGGAUUAGAUACCCUGGUAGUCCACGCCCUAAACGAUGUCAACUAGUUGUCGGGGAUUCAUUUCCUUAGUAACGUAGCUAACGCGUGAAGUUGACCGCCUGGGGGAGUACGGUCGCAAGAUUAAAACUCAAAUGAAUUGAC
rnacentral:rRNA from 1 species